AGCGACUACAAAAUUAAAAGAACAGAAAAUAGGCUUUUCACAGAUAUUAUUCUCUCAUAAACAUCCUGCGUUUUUUUUGUGUUUUUUUUUGUUAUUCGCAAUUUUCAUAUAAAAUUAAAUAUGUACAAUUAUUUGUCUGCUUAUAGAAUAAUUUUGUCUCUUUAUAAGUUUUGUGCAUGCACACACAGGCGGCUGGACACAUGCGCACACAUACACACUCUCGCACACACACACACACACACACACCUUAUUGCAAACUUCCUUGAUGCUCUGUGCCAGGGGGUAGCCAAUGAGUAGCCCAUCGUCAGUUACUAUCUGGCUAUUUUACAGAUGCACCUGCCAUAUUUAUCCUUUGCUAAAACAGGCUCUCUCCAGCUGUUUGUAAAUAGUCCUUCUAAAAACCAGCUGUUUUAAGCAUACCCCUGCUCUGUGCAGUAAACUCUGAAUAACUCUUUGGGAUGCAAUACACUUAAAGUGAUGGAAUUAAAAAGAGACUUUUAUGAUCCAGGCUUCCCCAAACCUCCGGCCCUCCAGAUGUUGCUGAACUACAACUCCCAUGAUUCUCAGCCUAUCUAUUUCAUUCAUAGAAUCAUGGGACUUGUGGUUCAGCAACAUCUGGAGGGCCAGAGUUUGGGGAAGCCUGUUAAAAGUAAAAAUAAAAAAUAUAAAAUUUAAAUAUAACAUACUGCACCCCUUUUAACUGGAUUGUCACUUCUCAAACAAAUUAUACCCUUGAGCAAAACCAUUGAAAAUCAUAAAUAGCUCACAUUAACAUUAUUUUAUGUGAUGCUUCUUUUUCUUUUAAAAUAUAUAAAAAGGAUUAAGCAAGUGAUAUCACAAUCCUGUUCCGCCCAGGCACAGCCAGGGAUAAACCUGACUCCAAUAACUGAGGAGCAAUUCUUCCAUUGAGACAAUUAGAAAUAUUCGUAUCUCUUAUAUUGGCUCAUCUAGCCCUAUACAUGGAUUUCAUUUGCGUUGUAAUUAUUCGUUUACUGUUUGCUUUUAGUUUUUGUACUAUAUUAUUAAGCAACUUAGUGCUUUUUUGCUGUCAUGUAUGACAUCACACCUACUUUGCAAGAAAGAGGCAUGUGCUGCGUGUAGGAUAUAUACUGUUCCUGUUCAGGAUUCUGAUUGGUUACUGCAAUGUUCUAUUUAGGAAGUUAAUGUCAUGUUUCUUUAUGUUUGUUUUCGUUUCUGCAAUGAAAGCAAGCAAAUAAAGUUUAAACGGACACUACAGUCACCAGAACACCUACAGCUUAAUGUAGUUGUUUUGGUGUGUAUAGCCUGUCCCUGCAGUCAUUUUAAUGUAAACACUGUCUUUUCAGAGAAAAUAGGCAGUGUUUAUUUUCUGCCUAGGGACAGCUCCAGUGGCAGCCAUUCAGACGGCCACUAGAGGUGCUUCCUGGAUGCAGCACUGAUGUUCAGCAUCUCCACACUCUGCAUGGACCUGCUGAACGAGUCAUUGCUCUCAAUGAGGAGAUGCUGGUUGAUGCCAAGCGGCGGGUUGCCGAGCAUAUGCGGUAGCCUUCUGGAUUGGCUGAGAUCAUCAAGUUUGAUGGUCUCAGCCAAGGGGGCAGAGCGUGGGCGGGGCCAGCCGGGGGACUAAACAGCUAUUUAGACCUAUAUUGUCAGGAAUACACAUUUGUAUUCCUAAUACUAUAGUGUUCCAUUAAGCAUUAUAUUGAUUCUCUACAACAAAUUUAAUCUUUCACUGCAUAUAAAAUUGACAAUGGUUGGUUGACUUGGCUAAAUACAUUUUGUCAUCACCAGAAGUCCAGGUAAAAUCUUUCAUUUAAAAUUUAUAUAUAAAAAAAAAAAUACCCUUGAACAGACACAAAAAUACUGGUGGUUUUAAAAGGGCCGUCUGAAGGUUCAAGUAUCUAAUUAGCAAGCCAGUUAAAGGAAAACUAUAGGGGGCAUAACAACUCCAUUUUAAUGAUAUUGUUACGGUGUCUGAAGGUUCAAGACGCCAUUUUACCUAAGGUGUUAAACCCGCAAAUGCUUCCCAACAAGAUAUCUGUUACUUUUAAAUAUAACUGACACAAUCCUUGCUUAAGGCUCUUUUUGUUUCCUACUUAGUAACUUUUAAGUGUCCCAAUUUAUAGGGUUAUUCACUACGGUGAGAAUUCAUCGUGAAUUUAACAGUCACAGGGGCACCCAGAUAACUUAAUCUCAAUGAAGUGGUCUGGGUGCCAUAUCUCUCUCAUUUUAAUUCAACGGUGUAAACCUUUGCCCUUCUGUAGAAACAGCAAUGUUUACCUUGCAGAGUUUAAAUGCCUUUAAUGACUAUCAUACUGUCAGACAGCCACUAGAGACACUUGUACAGAUAUAGAAGAACGAAACUUGGCUACCUCAGUCAGAUCGUCUCAUAAAGACCAUCUGAUUGGCACAGCGUUUUACUACGCAUGCACACUAACCGGUCAAUGGAAAAGCAUUGAAUUGGCUGAGAUCAUUAAGAUUGAUAAACUCAGUCAAGGAGGCAUGGCCAGCCGCAGAGUAAGCAAUGGAGCGUUGGAUAAGAGGUAAGUGGAAUAUUUUUUAAAUCCUUGUGAGAAGAGGGGCGGCCACCUAAACGGUGACUAGGACACUAUAGCACAUUUCUAUUCCUAAUACUAUAGAUUUCCUUUAAGAUCCAAAUAGCCAAAUUGGAAACAUACGAAGAAGGCCAGAAUAGUUAUGUUUUUGGUACUAGACACUGUGCUAGCUGCAGUGUACCCUUAACAUUAGACAAAGGUUCUUGAAUUGAAUGGCUGGCAGAGGAUUCUGGGAUUUGUAUUCCAAUAACAGCUAGUGUGCCAUGCUAUAUAGCCCUAUGCUAUACACUGAAAAUGAAAUCAAAUAGCUACUGCAUUUAUCUCUGGAAAAGUUUCUCCGAUCACGAAUUAAUCUGUAAUGGACAAAUAAUAUGUAAUAAUAUGAACAAAGGGCAGCAAUACAUAAUGUAAAUGCUAAAAAUGAUGUGCAAAUGAUAAGAUGAUACAUCAGUGAGGUAUGGAGCAUUACUAUCUCAAUAUUCUAUCCAGCCAAAAAUAAAAUAGAUAUGUAGAUAGAGAGAAAUAUUUUUUUAAAUUGUCUCCACUUAUUCUAAAUUAUGACAUCACGGUGCAGCGUGUGUAUGUUAACUCGCACACCCUGAUUCUGGGAGAACAUUCAAGAAUGUGGACUGAGUGACUGGCAUCAUAAUAUGCACACACAGAAUGUCAUGCCCUGUAGAAUUAUAUGUCUUAUAACCCCAUGGUCCCCAUGUUGAAUAUUAGGAAAUGUAAUGUGGGCCUAUGGGGGUGCUAAAUGAUAAUGUCAUAAACAAGGCACAGGAACAGCAAAUAGAAUACCCCUAAUUAUUGAUCUACCCACUGUUAUCAUCUCAGUAUUUACACUGGUUAGGGGAAUGAGUCUCUUAAUCUAUCACAUAUAUUAGGACCAAACAUUUACCUCUAAAUUGGUGCUACAUGCAGCAAGACUAUUUUGUGCAUUUCCUAAAGUGUUUAAAAUUAAUAAAACAAUGCUGCCAACAAGGUAUUUCUGUGCUAACAGUAUUUGUUAUGUGUUUUUGAAGUGGAAUAUUGCAUUUACCAAUUUUGGAUGAUAGAUGGUGCUUUUGAAGAGCUACACACAUCAAACUGUACUCCAGCACAAAGAUAACCUGUUAUUUCCUGUGAUAGCUUUGUGGGUUGUCUGUGAUGGGCAUAUUUAACAUGACAAUGGCCAUCUUUACAGUGUACGUGUCAUGCCAAACAUGAUAAGUGUCACUUUAUAGUUAAAUUGCUUGAACACAAGCAUACUUUUCUAGAGUUUUUCAAUGUUCACAUUCUCUCUUUAA